rnacentral:lncRNA from 1 species
AUGAGCAGAAGGUGGCCAGGGAGGUGGUGCCGGGUGGGCAGCACCCAAAGGGGGGGUCCGGAGCCAAAGCAGAGCUGGGGGCUCAGGGGGAGCAGAGCUCACCCCAGCCCCAUGCGUGGAGAGAGGGAUCCAGGAGGUGGUGGAAGGCAGCGGGACACCAAACCUCGCAGUGGGACACCACCAGACCACACAGCAGGACACCACCGGCACCGCGACCGCGCACCCUUGGCUGUGCUGGGCCAGGCGGCAGCGGGGAGCAGGGGGGAUGCAGCAGGGGAGGACCCGGCCCCAAAAGGGGACCCCGACAUCAGCCCCUGGGGUGCGCAGGGCAGGGGCACGCAUCAGCAGCCAGGAGCCACCGUGUCUGCGCUGGGAGCUGCCGGGGGCCGGGCUUUGUGCGGAGGGAGUGACCAACAACCAGGCCAAGGGAAGAUUGAAUUUCCUCGUUAUUUUCAGCCCAGCUCCCUGGACAGUUCUCCUUGCACCCGGAUACGUUGCAACGGCUUCUGCAGGGAAGGGCUGGGGACCGUGACCCGCGGCCCAGCGCUGCGCCUGCCGGUCCCUGUGCCAGCGGGGCACAGCGAGGUGGGGGCUGGCCCCCAGGAGCCCAGCAGCAGCCCCACGGCCCCCACCCCAACACAGGAGCCAUCACAGGACACAAGAGCCACCUCGCAGCCCCCUCCCCUGCCCAGGACCUGCCCCGUGCUGACCCCCCCCCCCACCACAUCGCCUUCACCUGCCUCUCCUUCGCCAACCCCAAGCUCUGCACCCCGCUGCGAAACCCUCUGCUGGCAACGGGCACGACCCAGACCAACCCCCCCAGGCCCCCCCGAGCCAGCCACCAGCUCCAUCACGGCACCCGCACACCGGGGCUGCCCCCAUGGGCCUUGUCCCCCCCCAAAGGACAGGCAGUGCCAGGGCCUUGAGGCCGCAGGAGCCAGCGGUGGAUGGGCCAUGGGGGGGGGCUCGGUGGCUGUGGCCCAGGUGGGAGCCAGGCUGCUGCUCCUGGGGGGCACGGGGGGAGGCGGAAAGCAGCGUUUCCGUGUUUCCAUGUCUCCGUCUGGCACAAGGAGAGGUUUUGGCCCUGGGGGUGGCUCGUGCGGCACCACCGGGGAUGAGCCGCAGGGGAGGGACGGGAGGGUGGUGGCAGGGGGACGCCACUUUCUGGGGGGGCUCACAGCCCUGGGGGGGGGCUGGGCUGGGGGCUGCGGCCUCCCCUGCCCCUCCUGGGCUCCUGGCCCAGGCCUUGGCUGCAGGGAGGAGGCUGUGGGGCUGCUGGGGGCCAGACCCGAGCCCCACGCAGCAGGGGCUGGGGGGGACACGGGGAGCACCAGGAGGGGCAGUGGGCACGCAGGAGGCACGGCCAAGCCCCCGGCCGGGCCCCCC